UACGUAGGGUGCAAGCGUUGUCCGGAAUUAUUGGGCGUAAAGAGCUCGUAGGCGGUCUGUCACGUCGGACGUGAAAAUCCAGGGCUCAACCCUGGACCUGCGUUCGAUACGGGCAGACUAGAGUUCGGUAGGGGAGACUGGAAUUCCUGGUGUAGCGGUGAAAUGCGCAGAUAUCAGGAGGAACACCGGUGGCGAAGGCGGGUCUCUGGGCUGACACUGACGCUGAGGCGCGAAAGCUAGGGGAGCGAACGGG
rnacentral:rRNA from 1 species